AUGGGCCCGUCCCAGUCCCGGGACCCGGAGCGGCUGAGGCUCCAGCACUGUUGUACGGCCCAGUGUCCUGGCCCGUGGCCGGCAGGCCUUGGCCGAGUAAAGGCUCUUCAGGCAGCUGGUCCUGAGGGUGGGUGGCCAGAGCGGGUGUGUGUCGGGGCCAGCCGGGUGGUCUGGCCCCACGCAGGGCCUUGGUGGUGUCCCCCCGGGUCCCUCCGUCUAUGUCGGGGCUGGUCUCCCCCUGCUGGCCCAGGGCAGGGUUGCGGGCAGACAGAUGAGGGGCUUGGACCGGGAGGCCACGUGGUCCCGGGGCCCCCAUCCUGCUCUGGGGGUCCUUUCUCAGAGAUGGUCCUUGGGGGUAGGGGGCUCCUUCCUGUGUCUGGCAAGGGCUUGGAGGUUCUCUGGGCCCCCGGGCCUGCCUCUGACCUCCGGCGGGCAUGCUGGAAGUGUGGGUACAGCCGUCUGCCUGCCCGUGGGGGCUGUCGGUGUUGGGGGCUGCUGGAUGGUGGCCUGGGCCCUCCCUGCGCGUUCCGCGUGCCACCUCUGCCUUCGUGUCUGUCCGCAGCCACUGCUGUGCGUCAUUCCGGCCCCUGAACGUCAGCUGGUGGCCCUGGGGCCUUUUGGGAGUUGAGUUCUGGGCCGAGCGCGGGCAGACCCUGGGCUGAGUUUGCUCGGGGUGCCGAUGACAGGCUUCUGGCGGCGGCAUGAGGCCCGUGACUACCAGUGUUGGAUGCGGUUUCUUAACAGCAAUAAUCAGCCGCUUCGGAGAAGGGGUGUGCCUGUGUGUGCCUGUGGGUAGGUGCACACACGUGUGCCUCUGUGUGUGUGCACGUGUGCAGGGGGAGAGGAAAGAGGCAGACAGACACAGGGUGCGUAGGGAAAGCUUGGGAGGCAGGAAGAAGGGGGGGGCGCGGGGUGGGGGGGGCCUCCGGGGGGCUGGGGGUGCUUGGCCGGGGCGGGCUGGCCCCGAGGCCUCGUCCGCUCUCCUCUGGCCCGGCCAGCCUGGGUCCCAGCCCUCCUUCCUCCUGGGCUGAGGCUGCUGGACAGGCCCGCAUGCAGCGGGGGUGCCCGGGGUGAGCUUUUGCCCGGGGCGCUGGCACUGUGGGGAGGAUGGCCAGGGCAGGGACGCUCGGGGACACUCUGCGGGCUGGUGGAAGUCAGAUCUGGGGACGGGGGCCCAGGCGGGCUCCUGUCACUGGCUGAGUCCACCGUCGGUUUGGUCCGUGGGAGGGCCCCAAGGGGCACCGAGUUCCGGGGGCGCAGGCUGCCAGGCAGGGGGUCCCUGUGAGCCACGGGGGCGGGGGCCGAAGCCAUGGCCCUGCGCCUGCCCGGCCCCCAAUGCUGCUGUUUUUCAAUAAAACUCGAGCUGAUGGAACCACGGUCCAUGCUUUCUUGCCGCGUCCUCUGUGUAACACUGGGCCCGGAAGGGCUCCUCCCUGAGGUGCUGGGCUUCCCCCUGACCCCAGGGCGGGGGUCGGUGGUGGGGCGACCUGUGGGCAGGGGAGGCCCCCUGCUCCUAUGUCCGUGGGCUCGACCCAGCCGCCCUGCGUCUGCCUGCCUGUCUGAUGUUCCUUGGAGCUGUGGGCUCACGGGAUGGGGUGAGGGGUGAGGCUGGGUGGGACCCCGAGGUCCUGUAAGGAAGGGCCAUGGUGGGGGUUGGGGUGUCAGCCAGGGAUGGGGGCGCUGAGACCCCGGGGGGAGGUGCCCAGCAUGCCCCGGGGCUGCGGAAGCCCACCAGUGUGAUGGCCCCCAUGGCUGUGCCCUCCUGCCGGGGCUGCCUUCGGGGUCGGGGCACGCCCCCUCCGCCCUUGGGGUGUCUGGCACGCCCCCUUCUCUGAGCCUGACUGGGUCCUGCCUGCCCCACGGGGCUGCCCGCACGCACAGGGGCCCAGCCUGGCCCCAGGACGGCGCUCCCAGGACGGUUGCUGGUCUGCACAAGGUCCUCCACAAGAGGAAGCAGUGGUCUCUGCCUCUGCGGUGACGGCAUGAAGAUGGGCUGUCACUCAGACGCCAACACACACCGGACACAGUGGCAUGCGGGGCCCGCGCCCCCCGCGAGGGUCAGGCGUGACCGUCAGGCCCUGCAUGCCCCAGGAAACCAGCGGCAACGAUUCGAAGCGUGAGAAAAGCAGGCCUGGGCACGGCGAGCGGCGACGCCCCCGUCACCCGAAAAAGUGAGGCCGUGUCCCGUGGGCUCGAGUCGCCGUAAGGCCAGGG
ensembl:lincRNA